rnacentral:rRNA from 1 species
UCGGGAAUAUUGCGCAAUGGAGGAAACUCUGACGCAGUGACGCCGCGUAUGGGAAGAAGGUUUUCGGAUUGUAAACCAUUGUCGUUAGGGAAGAAGAAGUGACAGUACCUAAGGAGGAAGCUCCGGCUAACUAUGUGCCAGCAGCCGCGGUAAUACAUAGGGAGCAAGCGUUAUCCGGAUUUAUUGGGUGUAAAGGGUGCGUAGACGGGAAUUUAAGUUGGUUGUGAAAUCCCUCGGCUCAACUGAGGAACUGCAACCAAAACUGGAUUUCUUGAGUGCUGGAGAGGAAAGUGGAAUUCCUAG